rnacentral:rRNA from 1 species
AUUGAACGCUGGCGGCAUGCCUUACACAUGCAAGUCGAACGGUAACAGGUCUUCGGAUGCUGACGAGUGGCGAACGGGUGAGUAAUACAUCGGAACGUGCCUAGUAGUGGGGGAUAACUACUCGAAAGAGUGGCUAAUACCGCAUGAGAUCUACGGAUGAAAGCAGGGGAUCGCAAGACCUUGUGCUACUAGAGCGGCCGAUGGCAGAUUAGGUAGUUGGUGGGAUAAAAGCUUACCAAGCCGACGAUCUGUAGCUGGUCUGAGAGGACGAUCAGCCACACUGGGACGUAGAAACCGCCCAGACUCCUACGGGCGGCAGCAGUGUUGAAUUUUGGACAAUGGGCGCAAGCCUGAUCCAUCAAUGCCGCGUGCAGGAUGAAGGCCUUCGGGUUGUAAACUGCUUUUGUACGGAACGAAAAGCCCCGGGUUAAUACCCUGGGGUCAUGACGGUACCGUAAGAAUAAGCACCGGCUAACUACGUGCCAGCCGCCGCAGUAA